GCAUUGGUGGUUCAGUGGUAAAAUUCUCGCCUGCCAGGUGGGAGGCCUGGGUUCAAUUCCCGGCCAAUGCA